rnacentral:lncRNA from 1 species
GAUCCCUGUGUGGCUGUUUGGCGGGUGGGCGCUGUGUUCCUCUCUCGUAAAGCCGUGCGGUCUGUGGGCCGCCAUUCAGAAACUGGAUGGACAGCUUCGGCGGUGGGAAGGGAAGGGACAUGCUGCAGGCCACCCUCCGGCUAGAAGGAGGGAGUACUUGAGGAACAAGGUCUGCGAAAAUUGGCUGUGCUCUGUUCUAAAACUUGGAAUGGCCUCAGUACCUGGGGAAUGUGUUUAAAAUGCAGACUUAAAUGUCCGUUUCUCCAUUCUAAUUUCAGUAGAGACGGGGGUUCUCUCUGUUGCCCAGGCUGGAGGGCAAUGACAUGGCCUUAGAUCAUAGCUCACUGCAACCUCAACCUCCUGGGCUCAAGCAACCUCCCACCUUGCGCCUUGGCCUCCUGAAGUGCUGGGAUUACAAACGUGAGCUACGGCACGUGGCCUGAGUCUUUAAAAUGAAUGAAGAAUGAAAAACCAUCAGAGAUAUGAAAAUCAACAGCAUGAAAGAUAAAACUAAAAACCAUUUCAGGAAGACUCUGAGUCAGCUAAGGAACCAAAAUAAAAUAAUAAGAAAUUAAUAAUAAUAAGCUGCCUAAGAAGUACUCAAGAAAAUAUUAGAGAACAGAAUACUCUGAAAAAGGAGCAUUGGAGAAUAAGAAAAGACUGUUGAAAAUAAACAUGAAUGUAAAAAUUAAACUGGCAAGAUGAUUUAAUUGAAAAAAUAUCACAAAACUUGCAGUAUUCAAACAAAAACAUGGAGAAUUUUGAGAAAAAAAUGGAGGACUAAUUCAUUAUUUGACUAAUAAGAAUUUCUGAAAGAGAGAACAAGAGGAGGAGGAGAAAAAUAUCACACAUUGAAAAGAUACUUCGAGGAACUGAAGAUAAAUACAGGUCUCCAAAUUGAUAGAACACAUUUAGUACUGAGCAAAAUAAUAGUAAAAGAACCACACCUAGACACAUAAAGAAGCCAUUUCAGAGCAUCAAAAAUAAAGAAAAAGGCCUAAAAGCUUCCAGUCACAAGAAUCUGACCUUUUAUAAAAGAAUUUAAGAAUUGAGCUAGUAUCAGAUUUCUCAUCAGAAACUUUAGAUACCGAAAGAUAAUACCUUCAAAAUUGUAAGUGAAAAUUAUUUUGAACUUAGAAUUCUAUUUCCUGUCAGAACAAAACUCAAUUAUGAGUACAUAAUAAAGAUUUCAGAAAGUUCAAUUAUCAUAUACUCUUUCUGAAAUAUGUACUCCAGAAAAGUAAGAAUGAAAUCCAAAAAUAAGAUAGAUGUAAAAUACAAGAGUGUGGCAGAUAGAAUGACCCAUCGAAGAUGUCCAUGUCCUAAUCCUUGAAAUUUGUUAAUGUUACACUGCAUGGAAAAAGGAACUUUGUAAGUGUAAUUAAGGUUAUUAACCUUAAAAUAGGGAGUUUAUCCUGGAUUAUCCAGUGGGCUCAGUCUAAUCAUGUGAGUCCUAAAAAUCAGAGAACUUCUUCCACUUAGAGGCAGAAAAAAUGAAGCAGGAGAGGUUAGAGAGAUUUAAAGUAUAAGAACUCUGGCCGGGCAUGAUAACUCAUGCCUGUAAUCCCAUCACCUUGAGAGGCCGAGGCAGGUGGAUCACCUGAGGUCAGGAGUUUGAAACCAGCCUGGCCAACACGAAACCCUGUCUCUACUAAAAAUCCAAAAAUUAGCCAGGCAUGGUGGCACAUGCCUGUAGUCCCACCUGCUCAGGAGGCUGAGGCGGGAGAAUUGCUUGAACCCGGGAGAUGGAGGUUGCAGUGAGCCAAGAUUGCGCCAUUGCACUCUCCAGCAUGGGCAACAGAGUGAGACUCUGGCUCAAAUAAAUAAGUAGGUAAAUAAAUAAACCAAGUAUAAGAACUCAAUCCACAAUUAUAGGCUGAAAUGAAAUGAGAUCAUGAGUCAAAAGAAUGAAGGCUGCUUCUAAAAGUUGAGAUGACCCCAGCCAACAGCCAGCAAGAAAUUGAGGACCUCAAUUCUACAAAAGUACGGAACUGAAUUCUGUCAACAACCUGAAUAAGCUGGAAGUAGAUUCACCCCGCAAAGCCUCCUGAAAGAAGCUCAGCCCUGUUGACACCUUGGUAGGCCUUGUAAGACCCUAAGUGGAAGACUCAGUUGAGCCACACUGUACCUAGACUUCUGAUUUACAGAACUGCAACAUAAUGAGUGGGUGUUGAUUUUAGCCACUAAAUGUGUAGUAAUUUGUUAUGAUAGCAAUAAAAAACGAAUACACCUCUUAAGAGGUGAAAGAGAAAAGAGGGAGAUACAAGAGGCUUAGAAAGCAACUGGUCUAAGAUAAAUUGAUAGACAACUAGGGGAAUGUUUUCAAGAAAAAAUUGAAUGAGUUCCAAGCAGUAGAUAGAAAUGGAUAAAGAGAACAUGAACAUACUCAGUGACAUGGUGAAGAAAGUAUUUAUUUAUUAUUUACUCUAAAGGAAAAAAAGAAGGUAAUUAGAAAGUCUUUGAAAAAAACUAAAAUUUAAUUGGAAAAUUAUGGCUUAAAAAUGAUGUAAACUAAAAUAAUCCAUUAUCAAGCUGCAGUGAACAUUAUGAAGUACCACCUACCAUUCUCUUUUCAGAACCAAGGAACUUAUAUCCCCAGUUUCCAUGAGUUUUGACUGCUAAAAACUCACAAUUUAGUUCCCCCCAGGAAAUUGCCCUCCACCAAAGGUAUGUGCCUUGCAAAAGAUUACACAACUUCCCUGGGGACAGAACACAUCCAAAGACUGAUUAGUGUGGAAGAAAAAAGGUUGGGCUCCUUGCCUCAAUUCAAGGGAACUCUGAAGGUCUUCUCCAACUUCAUAGUUCCCCAUCUAGUUGGCUGAGGCGUCUGUUUUGACUGCACCAUGGUUUAACUUCUCUCUAUGCCCAAUUCAGCUUCAGUCAGCUCCUUGUUUCUGAGAGGCUGGAAAUCUCUUAUCUCCUAAUCUGUUUCCUAGAGAACUCACCCUAAGACACACCGUAAGAACAAGAACAAGACAAAUAUAUUAGAUCGCCACAAAUACAGUUAGGCAGCUUAGCCUUAGAAACACAAAUUUUAAAAGUGAAGUAAAAAACAUGUUUAAAGAAAAUGAGUGAACUUACUAGAAAAGAAGAUGAAAUAUUUAAAAGACCACAGAUGUUUAAAGCAGCUUUAUUUAUAAUGGCCCAAACUGGGAAGAAACCAAGAUGUCUUCAGUGGAUUACAGGAUAAACUAUGGUACAUCCACACAAUAGACUAUUACUCACCUCUAGAAAGAAAAAAAAAACAGGCCAGGCAUGGUGGCUCACACCUGUAAUCUCAGCGUUUUGGAAAGCCUAGGCAAGAGGAUCACUUGAGGCCCGGAGUUCUAGACCAGCCUGAGCAAAAUAGCGAAACCCACCCCACUGCCCCCCUUCAUGUCUACCAAAAAAAUAAAAUUGUUUUUAGGGUUUUUUUGGUUUGUUUUGUUUUGGCUUUUUUUCAGAUGGAGUCUCACUCUGUCACACAUGCUGGAGUGCAAUGGUGAGAUCUUGGCUCACUGCAGCCUCUGCCUCCCAGGCUCAAAUGACUCUGGUGCCUCAGCCUCUCAUGUAGCUGAGAGUACAGACAUAUGCCACCAUACCCGGCUAAUUUUUUUAUUUUUAGGAGAGACAGGGUUUCACCAUGUUGCGCAGGCUGGUCUGGAACUGCUGACCUCAAGUGAUCCACCCGCCUCUGCCUGUCAAAGUCUUGGGAUUACAGGUGUGAGCCACCAUACCCAGCCCCCAAAAAUGUUUUAAAU